rnacentral:tRNA from 1 species
GCGGGUAUGGCGAAAUUGGCAGACGCGCUAGACUUAGGCUCUAGUUCUUACGAGUGCAGGUUCGACUCCUGUUACCCGCACCA